AAAAAAAAAAAAAAAGUCAGAAUCCGGUGACUGUCAACGGCUGGUUUGCAUUGUUGUCUCGUUUUACAAGUGUAGUGCGACAACCCACACCACCAUGAGGUGCGGAACACUCAGGCGAGCAAACCCCAGUGAGCUCCUCUGAGUUUCACCGAGUCACGCGCCCUCACGCGCCGCCAGGAGUUCCAGGGUUGCGUCACCACGCGCAUCACGCGCCAGCGCGUGCGACACUUUCCGGCCAGUUUUUUCGAUCAAUUUUUUUUUCAUUGAGGUCGCCUCUCCAUUCCGAGGCAGACUGUAUAUUUAUUUUCUUAUUCCGACCAGUUUCGGGCAGUCAGACCUAAUUUCCGGCGACUGCACCUNN
rnacentral:lncRNA from 1 species